rnacentral:rRNA from 1 species
UACGUAGGGGCGUAGCGUUGUCCGGAAUCAUUGGGCGUAAAGCGCGUGUAGGCGGUCCGGUAAGUCCGCUGUGAAAGUCGGGGGCUCAACCCUCGGAUGCCGGUGGAUACUGUCGGGCUUGAGUACGGAAGAGGCGAGUGGAAUUCCUGGUGUAGCGGUGAAAUGCGCAGAUAUCAGGAGGAACACCAAUUGCGAAGGCAGCUCGCUGGGACGUUACUGAGCUGAGACGCCGAA